rnacentral:rRNA from 1 species
AACGAACGCUGGCGGCAUGCCUAACACAUGCAAGUCGAACGAGACCUUCGGGUCUAGUGGCACACGGGUGCGUAACGCGUGGGAACCUGCCCUUAGGUUCGGAAUAACUCCCCGAAAGGGGUGCUAAUACCGGAUAAUGUCUUCGGACCAAAGAUUUAUCGCCUUUGGAUGGGCCCGCGUUGGAUUAGCUAGUUGGUAGGGUAAAAGCCUACCAAGGCGACGAUCCAUAGCUGGUCUGAGAGGAUGAUCAGCCACACUGGGACUGAGACACGGCCCAGACUCCUACGGGAGGCAGCAGUGGGGAAUAUUGGACAAUGGGCGAAAGCCUGAUCCAGCAAUGCCGCGUGAGGGAUGAAGGCCUUAGGGUUGUAAAGCUCUUUUACCCGGGAUGAUAAUGACAGGACCGGGAGAAUAAGCUCCGGCUAACUCCG